rnacentral:rRNA from 1 species
AUACGUAGGGAGCGAGCGUUGUCCGGAAUUACUGGGUGUAAAGGGUGCGUAGGCGGGGAAGCAAGUCAGCAGUGAAAACUAUGGGCUUAACUCAUAACGUGCUGUUGAAACUGUUUUUCUUGAGUGAGUCAGAGGCAGGCGGAAUUCCCGGUGUAGCGGUGAAAUGCAUAGAGAUCGGGAGGAAAACCAGUGGCGAAGGCGGCUUGCUGGGGCUUAACUGACGCUGAGGCACGAAAGCGUGGGGAGCAAACAGGAUUAGAUACCCUGGUAGUCCACGCCGUAAACGAUGAUUACUAGGUGUGUGGGGAGUGACCCCCUACGUGCCGGAGUUAACACAAUAAGUAAUCCACCUGGGGAGCACGGCCGCAAGGUUGAAACUCAAAUGAAUUGACGGGG